GGUCUGAGAGGAUGAUCCGCCACACUGGGACUGAGACACGGCCCAGACUCCUACGGGAGGCAGCAGUGGGGAAUUUUGGACAAUGGGCGCAAGCCUGAUCCAGCCAUGCCGCGUGUCUGAAGAAGGCCUUCGGGUUGUAAAGGACUUUUGUCCGGGAGCAAAUCCCAGUGGUUAAUACCUAUUGGGGCUGAGAGUACCGGAAGAAUAAGCACCGGCUAACUACGUGCCAGCAGCCGCGGUAAUACGUAGGGUGCAAGCGUUAAUCGGAAUUACUGGGCGUAAAGCGUGCGCAGGCGGUUGUGCAAGUCUGAUGUGAAAGCCCCGGGCUUAACCUGGGAACGGCAUUGGAGACUG
rnacentral:rRNA from 1 species